AGAGUACGUGAAACCGCUUAGAGGUAAACGGGUGGACCCGCAAAGUCGGCCCGGGGAAUUCAACUUGCCAUAGACGGCGGACCUCGGUGUCAAGGGAUCCGUAAAGACCCGACCGGUGUCGCGCCCGUCGUCGGCGAGUGCACUUUCCUCGGGUAGAGCGCCACGACCGGUUUACGGGGCGGUCAGAAGCCGAUCGGGAAGGUGACCUGUCCCUCGCGGGAGAGGUGUUAUAGUCCGAUCAGGUCGACUCGCACCCGAGACCGAGGAUUUGCCGCGUCUCAUGGGUACUCGUCUUACCGCCUGUGUUCGACUGGGGAAGCACUGCGUGCAGUUCUCUCCGACUGCUCAGGUGGACGUGGGCGGGAUGCCCGGAGACGCUUCGGGUCAGUGGCGAAUCGGUCGGUCCUCCACCCGAC
rnacentral:rRNA from 1 species